AAAUUGUUGGUUUAGUGGUAUAAUGGCCACCUGCCAUGCGGUCAACCUGGGUUUGAUUCCCGGACAAUGCA